UACGGGGGGGGCAAGCGUUGUUCGGAAUUACUGGGCGUAAAGGGCUCGUAGGCGGCCAACUAAGUCGGAUGUGAAAUCCCCAGGCUCAACCUGGGAACUGCAUCCGAUACUGGAUGGCUUGAAUUCGGGAGAGGGAUGCAGAAUUCCAGGUGUAGCGGUGAAAUGCGUAGAUAUCUGGAAGAACACCCGUGGCGAAGGCGGCUCUCUGGCCCGGUACUGACGCUGAGGUGCGAAAGCGUGGGGAGCAAACAGG
rnacentral:rRNA from 1 species